rnacentral:rRNA from 1 species
UACGUAGGGUGCAAGCGUUGUCCGGAAUUAUUGGGCGUAAAGAGCUCGUAGGCGGUUUGUCGCGUCUGCUGUGAAAACUCGGGGCUUAACUCCGGGCCUGCAGUGGGUACGGGCAGACUAGAGUGCGGUAGGGGAGACUGGAAUUCCUGGUGUAGCGGUGAAAUGCGCAGAUAUCGGGAGGAACACCGGUGGCGAAGGCGGGUCUCUGGGCCGUAACUGACGCUGAGGAGCGAAAGCGUGGGGAGCGAACAGG